CGGACGGGUGAGUAAUGUCUGGGAAACUGCCUGAUGGAGGGGGAUAACUACUGGAAACGGUAGCUAAUACCGCAUAACGUCGCAAGACCAAAGAGGGGGACCUUCGGGCCUCUUGCCAUCAGAUGUGCCCAGAUGGGAUUAGCUAGUAGGUGGGGUAACGGCUCACCUAGGNGACGAUCCCUAGCUGGUCUGAGAGGAUGACCAGCCACACUGGAACUGAGACACGGUCCAGACUCCUACGGGAGGCAGCAUG
rnacentral:rRNA from 1 species